CACAAGUUUUUGUGGAAUUGCUAGUAUACU
rnacentral:piRNA from 1 species